rnacentral:rRNA from 1 species
GACGAACGCUGGCGGCGUGCUUAAUACAUGCAAGUCGAGCGGAAAGACGCGGAGCUUGCCUCUCUGACGUAAGCGGCGGAUAGGUGAGUAAUAAGUGGAUAACCUACCUAUAAGAAUGGGAUGAAUUGGGGAAAACGACGCUAAACCAGGCUAAUAUAUUGAACGGCAUGGUUCAAUAGUGAUAGGCGGUUUUGCUGUUCCUUAUAGAUGGAUUCGCGCCGGAUUGGCUAGUUGGUAAGGUAACGGCUUACCAAGGGAACGAUGCGGAGCCGACCGGAGAGGGUGAUCGGCCACCCUGGAACUGGAACACGGUCCAGACUCCUACGGGAGGCCGCAGUAGGGAAUCUUCCGCAGCGGGCGAAAGCCUUGCGCAGCGACGCCACGUGAGUGAUAAAGGUCUUCGGAUCGUAAAACUCGGUUAUGAGUGAUAAACAAAUGUCUAAGGAACUAAGCACUUCUUGACGGUACCUAAUCAGAAAGCGACGGCUAACUACGUG